AAUGGAAUUGAUGGGUUAUAUGGAAAGUUUAUGCUUAACUUUUUAAGAAAUUGCCAAACUGUUUUCCAAAAUGGCUGUACCAUUUUACAUCCCCACUUGCAAU
rnacentral:pre_miRNA from 1 species